CCGGAUUUAUUGGGCGUAAAGCGAGCGCAGGCGGUUAGAUAAGUCUGAAGUUAAAGGCUGUGGCUUAACCAUAGUACGCUUUGGAAACUGUUUAACUUGAGUGCAAGAGGGGAGAGUGGAAUUCCAUGUGUAGCGGUGAAAUGCGUAGAUAUAUGGAGGAACACCGGUGGCGAAAGCGGCUCUCUGGCUUGUAACUGACGCUGAGGCUCGAAAGCGUGGGGAGCAAACAGGAUUAGAUACCCUGGUAGUCAAGGGCGAAUUCGC
rnacentral:rRNA from 1 species